ensembl:lincRNA C230057A21Rik RIKEN cDNA C230057A21 gene
ACAGAGAACAGUCCAUCCACGGAUGUUAGUGAGGGUCAAGAGGAAAGAGGAAGUGGAUGGCCACAGCCUGAUGGUAAUGUUUGCAAGUUAGGUGUGGGUUUGUAUUUUUAACAAUUUUCAGAAUUGGAAUCGUGCUUUGUGUCAUUUUGCAUCUGUGAGGGUCACCUGGACUUUAUGGCAAUCUCCAAAGGUUUAAGACGGGGCAUCUCAAUGUUCAGAAGUCUCUCCCUCCAGGGUGUGGUCUGAGCAACAGUGAUAAAACCUAUGAAGCAUGUGCUACUAUCAGUUGUCUGUCCUGAUUUAUAUUUUUAGCUGAAAUUUUUUUAGCAAGAAUAAUGAUUUUAAAGUAUGCAAACUGCAUUUCCAUAUUUUAUCAUUUGUCACUGGAAGACCAGUGCGGGGUGGUGGUGGCAAACGCCUUCAAGCCUAGCACUCAGGAGGCAGAGGCAGACAGAUCUCUGAGGGUCUCAUGUAGGCCUAGGCUGAACUCAACUCAGAAUGUUGUAGCUAAAGACAAACUUGGUUCUGAUUCUUCUGCAUCCACUUCCCCAGGCCAGCAAGGGCAAGCUACAAGCGAGGCUGUGUGGAGAGCAGGGGAGUCAUGAAUGCCGGGGAAACACUAAGAAGCCAGCUACAUCCCACAGUCUUCUUUUAAUUUGAUUGCUGUUGGUGUUUGUGUGAGAGGCUUGACUCACCCUGCCAUGCUGCCUCAGCAUCCCAGUGCUGAGGUUAUAAGAGCCAUAUCUGGCUUGCUGGAUUAUUAAAACAGUCCCCGAUUACAGUUACUCGGUUCAAAAUGAGAUGAAUGUGGGCAAGUAAUCACAGGUCUAGUGUAAAACCGUGCAUGGUGGCACUGAACUAGAGUCACCUUUGGGUGGCACAGUGGAAACAGCUAGGAUGUCGUAAAAGUCUGGGAGCUGCCUGACUGCACCUCUGCAGAGCAAAGCUGAGCUAUGAGGGAGAACUGGGCUCUCUCUCCCUGCUAGUUCCCCAGUCUCACUUGGAGGCCUCUUGAGGUGGAGGUACAGGGGAUGAGGGAGCUCACCAGUAAGUUCUUCGAAACUGUACCCACGACAACACUAAAUGCUAAGUCCCAGAAUGAGCAGUGUGGGACCAACGUUCCAUUGUGCAAUGUCCCAGUUAAUCUUGAGCCAUCUUCUUUCCCUUGUGACAGAUAAAGAUAACGUCCAAAUCAUACACGGAAAUUCAACAGACACAACAUCUAUACAAUUCAGUGAGCAUCCAUACAGUUAGAACGGGCACUGGGAUGGAAACUGUGAAAUUUCACACUACAUUUUAUACUUUAAGAACUGACUACCUUCUAUGCUCCUACCCACUAGUCAAACAAAAAAGAACUCCAUGACAUAACUAGAACAAGAAAAAUGAUUGGCUUUAUAUCCUCUGACAUAAAUGGUGUCGAUUUCUUGCAGUCAGCUCUGCUUACCUUUGGUGUGUGUUGUUUUCACUUAUUUUCAAGUUUUUAAUUAGUAAGGUUUACAAAAUUAAAAGUAAAAUAAUUCAAACAAACAAGCCUACGAUGAGCAAAUCACUCCCUUGUCUUUGCAGCACAGUGCAAAGAGAAGUGCAGUCUCAGGUUGGCUGGGAUCCUGUGACUCGCUGAUCUAGUUUCUGCCUUUAGAACAUUCCCCAAAUUUGUUCCUUGAAUGUCUUGGCUGAAAACUUAAUUCCCUCCAUUUGGAAGACAGAGAUGUCCAGUUGAGCCAAGACCACUCUUGUCCCUGCACCCACCACAUCCGGUGUUCACUUCCUUCUCUGCCUUUGGCCUUCAAGGUACUCAAGACCAGGAGCACACAUUUCCUGUUCUGUUUUUCCAUGUCAUAGAGCAUGGGGAAGGCUGUCAGCAAACACGUGGGAAAUGUGAAAAAGUAGUGGGGAGGGGCAGAGGACAAGGGAGGAGACAGACUGACAAGGACCAGUGGAAACCACCUGCUUAGUUAGGGGUGACACACUUCCAUGCAGUGCAGACCAAGUCCUCAUGGUUUCCUAAACCGGGGUCCUCACUCCCCUGGUACCAAUUAGCAUUGCAAAAGACACGGAAAGCAAGAUAACACUAACAAAGAUCCACCACUGGUAUUAAACACAAAAGGCUGAGUAGUCAGUUAGGUAGCUAGUUGGCAUUUACUGACUCCAUGCUAAACCCAAUGAGUGUUAAUAGUUUUAUGACCCUGGGACAUAACCCAUAUUACAUUUGCUUUUGUUUUCUUCAAAAAAGACUUACUCACUUUAUGUAUGACUGGUGCCUUCAGCUGUCAGACAAGAGCAUGUGGUCCCCUGGAACUGGAGUUAUGGAUGGCUGACUCACAGGUAAGUGCUGUGAAUUGAACUCAAGCUCCCUGCAGGAGCAACAAGGGCUCUUUAACUGCUGAAGCAUCUCUCCAGACACUCAUUUCAUUUUCUAAGUCUUUGCAAAUGAAGGUCUGCUCAUGUAAGUAGCUUCAGAUUCCAUUAUCGUUUUCAGGUUCACACGUUCACAUAUCUGGAAGAUCAGAGACGUUUCCAGAAAUUUGCCGUCCACAGUGAGUAAGGAGAGCCUCUGGCCUUCAGCUCCACAAGUCCUUUCUUCUCCAAAGUACCAAGACCUUCAAAAUGCCCCACCAUGAGCCUUAGACACAACCUAUGUUCUUCAAGGUCACACAUCUUACUGUUGGGCUCCUAGACACUCAACGAUGCAGGAGGAGGCAUUGCCACCAGGGGCACUGAGGUACUCAUACAACAACUUCGUGGGAUUUCGAGAGAGGGUAUUCACUUGUUUUCCUUCUGAGAUCAAAAUCCCCCACCUCGAGAGCUGGCCUACCAUAUAGGUGGAAGAAGAAAUGAUUCAGUUUUGUUUUUCCCCAAAGCUGUCAACUAUUUGAAAUUUUUACUUAUGCCAUAUACAUGUCGUGUAUUUAUGAGAUACCACGUGAUAGUUCAUACAUUUAUGUACUUAUUCUGUUGUAUUUAAUAAAGGGUAAGCAUAUCUAUCCCUUCAAAUUUAAAUAUAUUAAAAUAGUAACCUACUGUGCAACCAAGCACAUG